AGAGUUUGAUUCUGGCUCAGGAUGAACGCUAGCGGCAGGCUUAACACAUGCAAGUCGAGGGGUAACAGGGAUUGCUUGCAAUCCGCUGACGACCGGCGCACGGGUGCGUAACGCGUAUGCAACCUACCUUCUACAGGGGGAUAGUCAAUAGAAAUGUUGAAUAAUACCCCAUAUGAUCAUUAAUCUGCAUGGAUUGAUGAAGAAAGUUCCGGCGGUAGAAGAUGGGCAUGCGUCCUAUUAGUUAGUUGGUAAGGUAACGGCUUACCAAGACUUCGAUAGGUAGGGGUCCUGAGAGGGAGAUCCCCCACACUGGUACUGAGACACGGACCAGACUCCUACGGGAGGCAGCAGUGAGGAAUAUUGGACAAUGGAGGCAACUCUGAUCCAGCCAUGCCGCGUGCAGGAAGACGGCCCUAUGGGUUGUAAACUGCUUUUAUACAGGAAGAAUUGUACCUACGUGUAGGUAUUUGACGGUACUGUACGAAUAAGGAUCGGCUAACUCCGUGCCAGCAGCCGCGGUAAUAC
rnacentral:rRNA from 1 species